GAGGCGCCGAGCCAGCUGCUAGUGUCCUCUGCUGUUGGCAGUUGUUGAUGAGAUGAAUGUGGGCAUCAACCGACCUCAGCAGCAGCUCCAGGAAUAGCCUUCACCUGGGUGUGCCGUGUGCAGCACCACCACCACUAGUAGCAGCAGCUCUA